UAUCUUUAAAUAAAACUUCUUACUUUCUAUUCUAUGCUUGCCUCAGUGUGCUUCUUUGGUGUUGGACUUCAACAUUUGAGGAAGCUGGACUUGUCAAGGUAACUGGUAACUGGCAGUAUCAGGAGGUAGGACUACACCUUACUGCAGACACUGAAGGGACAGAACCAUGUCCUUAAGCCAGGCAAGGGCCAUUCUGAGAAGCUCUGAUACUGAGGAAAUAAGGAAGAAACAAAGUACAGCUCAACAAGGAAAGUUCAUGAGUUGGGAGCAAGAUUGGGUGAUUCACUUCAAGGACCUACCUGGCAGCUCCUCCUCUUCCUUGAUUUACAUAUAAGAAGUAUGCUGGACACCAGGAUCACCACUCCUCUGGGAAGUCACUUUCUGCCUCCUUCAGCAUGAGCUCUCUCCAGCUGCCACUCAGGGCUGGCCCUGCAGCCCUGCUCCUGGUCCUAUGCCUGCAACUGGGACUCAACAAAGCUCUGGAAAACCCACCUAGGCGGGAAGCACCAACAGCAAGGCCAAAUGAAGAAGUCAUAUGAGACUUGAACUUCAAACACAAUUGAGAAAAUGCUUGGUGACCUAGACGGAAGGUGUUGCAAUUUCAUUUGGAUAUGCCACAGAGAGCAAGGCCAAAUGAAGAAGUCAAUGUGAAACUUGAACUUCGAACAGAACUGAGAGAAUGCAUGGUGGUUAGAGCUCAACUCAGAAGCAAUGUCCGAAUGAAGGGUCACUUCAACCAAAAAUUCACUGGCUGUCUGUGUGAAGAUAAUCCAUUUACCUUCUUCUGGGACUUUCACAGUAGAAACACUGCAAAAAUUGCAAUAUUGAUUGACGUAAUUAAUGAGAAAGAUAUCUGUGAUGAUAUUUCAGUGGUUCCCAACGAAGGAAACCAACAAUAUAUUGUGCGUACCCUGUUCAUACAUUAAUGGAAACCGCUUCUGUGUCCAUCAGCACCCAUGUGGUUUUCUCCAAGUAAAAUUGGCUGGGGUUCCUAUUGAGGUCUGUAAAAUAAACUGUUCAAGCUUC